GGCUAUAUCAUGCUGCAGUACCGGUUCCCCUACGAUCCCCGAAGUUAAGAAAUGCCAAGCCUGGUCAGUACCUAGAUGGAUAACCGCUUGUGAAUACCACGCGCUGUAA